rnacentral:rRNA from 1 species
GACAGAGGGUGCAAACGUUGCUCGGAAUCACUGGGCGUAAAGGGCGUGUAGGCGGGUAGAUAAGUCGGGCGUGAAAUCCCUAGGCUCAACCUAGGAACUGCACUCGAAACUGUUUAUCUUGAGUAUCGGAGAGGAAAGCGGAAUUCCUGGUGUAGAGGUGAAAUUCGUAGAUAUCAGGAGGAACACCAGUGGCGAAGGCGGCUUUCUGGACGGUAACUGACGCUGAGACGCGAAAGCGUGGGGAGCAAACAGG